rnacentral:rRNA from 1 species
GCCUAACACAUGCAAGUCGAGCGGAAACGACACUAACAAUCCUUCGGGUGCGUUAAUGGGCGUCGAGCGGCGGACGGGUGAGUAAUGCCUAGGAAAUUGCCUUGAUGUGGGGGAUAACCAUUGGAAACGAUGGCUAAUACCGCAUAAUGCCUACGGGCCAAAGAGGGGGACCUUCGGGCCUCUCGCGUCAAGAUAUGCCUAGGUGGGAUUAGCUAGUUGGUGAGGUAAUGGCUCACCAAGGCGACGAUCCCUAGCUGGUCUGAGAGGAUGAUCAGCCACACUGGAACUGAGACACGGUCCAGACUCCUACGGGAGGCAGCAGUGGGGAAUAUUGCACAAUGGGCGAAAGCCUGAUGCAGCCAUGCCGCGUGUAUGAAGAAGGCCUUCGGGUUGUAAAGUACUUUCAGUUGUGAGGAAGGGGGUAGUGUUAAUAGCGCUAUAUCUUGACGUUAGCAACANAAGAAGCACC